CAUUCCAUAUUAGAAUAUAGGCCACGCAGCCGCCGAGACUUAUCUCGUCACUCACCUCAGCUUUAAGCUUCUUCGAUAUCUUGGGUUUUGAAACUGACCGAUUCAGUAUCGCCAUCCAAACAUACUGAUUAUACACAUGGCAACAGAAAAGAGAAAAAGGAAGGAGCAUGUUCCACCAACAUACACACAGGUUAAGCUUCCUAAGUCCCGAUGUUCUGGGAAGAAAUUCAUAAAUGCCAUUGCACGCCUAGCCCCUGAAAAACAGCAAGCCAUUAGAGAGAUGGGCUUUGGGGGCCUACUGAAUUUUGCUUGUCGCGAACUAAGAUAUGAGCUAUGCGCGUGGCUCAUAUCUCAAUAUGACUUUACCUACCAUAGACUUAAUAUGGAAACCGGCAAUGCUAUCACUGUCAAUGAAGAACAUGUGAAUAGAGU